CCUACGGGUGGCAGCAGUGAGGAAUAUUGGUCAAUGGGCGCGAGCCUGAACCAGCCAAGUAGCGUGAAGGAUGACUGCCCUAUGGGUUGUAAACUUCUUUUAUAUAGGAAUAAAGUGAAGUAUGUAUACUGCUUUGCAUGUACCUUAUGAAUAAGGAUCGGCUAACUCCGUGCCAGCAGCCGCGGUAAUACGGAGGAUCCGAGCGUUAUCCGGAUUUAUUGGGUUUAAAGGGAGCGUAGGCGGGUUGUUAAGUCAGUUGUGAAAGUUUGCGGCUCAACCGUAAAAUUGCAGUUGAUACUGGCAGCCUUGAGUACAGUAGAGGUAGGCGGAAUUCGUGGUGUAGCGGUGAAAUGCUUAGAUAUCACGAAGAACUCCGAUUGCGAAGGCAGCCUGCUAGACUGUCACUGACGCUGAUGCUCGAAAGUGUGGGUAUCAAACAGGAUUAGAUACCCCUGUAGUC
rnacentral:rRNA from 1 species